rnacentral:rRNA from 1 species
GUAUUACGAGUUACAACUCCCAAACCCAAUGUGAACCAUACCAAACUGUUGCCUCGGCGGGGUCACGCCCCGGGUGSKUCGCAGCCCSGGAACCAGGCGCCCGCCGGAGGGACCAAACCAAAYUYUUUUCUGUAGUCCCYUCGCGGACGUUAUUUCUUACAGCUCUGAGCAAAAAUUCAAAAUGAAUCAAAACUUUCAACAACGGAUCUCUUGGUUCUGGCAUCGAUGAAGAACGCAGCGAAAUGCGAUAAGUAAUGUGAAUUGCAGAAUUCAGUGAAUCAUCGAAUCUUUGAACGCACAUUGCGCCCGCCAGUAUUCUGGCGGGCAUGCCUGUCCGAGCGUCAUUUCAACCCUCGAACCCCUCCGGGGGGUCGGCGUUGGGGACCUCGGGAGCCCCUAAGASGGGAUCCCGGCCCCGAAAUACAGUGGCGGUCUCGCCGCAGCCUCUCCUGCGCAGUAGUUUGCACAACUCGCACCGGGAGCGCGGCGCGUCCACGUCCGUAAAACACCCAAYUUCUGAAAUGUUGACCUCGGAUUCAGGUAGGAUACCCGCUGAGAA